rnacentral:rRNA from 1 species
GUGCCAGCCGCCGCGGUAAUACCGGCAGCCCGAGUGAUGGCCGAUCUUAUUGGGCCUAAAGCGUCCGUAGCUGGCCGCGCAAGUCCGUCGGGAAAUCCACUCGCUCAACGAGUGGGCGUCCGACGGAAACUGUAUAGCUUGGGACCGGAAGGCUCGAAGGGUACGUUCGGGGUAGGAGUGAAAUCCCAUAAUCCCGGACGGACCGCCGAUGGCGAAAGCACUUCGAGAAGACGGAUCCGACAGUGAGGGACGAAAGCCAGGGUCUCGAACCGGAUUAGAAACCCGGGUAGUCC